rnacentral:misc_RNA from 1 species
AGUCGUAACAAGGUUUCCGUAGGUGAACCUGCGGAAGGAUCAUUACCGAGCGUUAGGGCCCUCUGGGUCCGACCUCCCACCCUUGUCUAUCGUACCUUGUUGCUUCGGCGGGCCCGCCAUCCGUGGCCGCCGGGGGGCACCUGCCCCCGGGCCCGCGCCCGCCGGAGACACCCUACGAACACUGUCUGAAGUUUGCAGUCUGAGUUGAUUUACUUAAUCAUUAAAACUUUCAACAACGGAUCUCUUGGUUCCGGCAUCGAUGAAGAACGCAGCGAAAUGCGAUAACUAAUGUGAAUUGCAGAAUUCAGUGAAUCAUCGAGUCUUUGAACGCACAUUGCGCCCCUUGGUAUUCCGGGGGGCAUGCCUGUCCGAGCGUCAUUGCUGCCCUCAAGCACGGCUUGUGUGUUGGGCCCCCGUCCCCUCCCCGGGGGACGGGCCCGAAAGGCAGCGGCGGCACCGCGUCCGGUCCUCGAGCGUAUGGGAGUAACACCCGCUCUGUAGGCCCCGGCCGGCGCCCGCCGACCCCAACCUUCUUUGUUUUUUUAACCAGGUUGACCUCGGAUCAGGUAGGGAUACCCGCUGAACUUAAGCAUAUCAAUAAAGCGGAGG